UCGUCUGAAGAGGACUGGAGAGUCGAAAAUCGAGACAGCGAAGAACGAGUUGCUACAUAUAAAAACUACGAAAGAUACACUGUCGCCUACUGCAGCCUACCUUAUUUCGAAAACUUUUUGAAGAACGAAAACUGGGUUAGGCUGUAACGCACACCAACACACACACAUACACACACACGCACAUGUGCAAUCCAUGGAAUAAUCAACAGCGCUUGGGCUCUCACUAGUGAAAGAAGAAAGGACGAAGAAAGUUACCAACAAGAGUCCAAUCGCAGACGUGGUAUUGUGUUCGGGCGGUUGCAGCGGCAACGGCAGCAAUGCCGCCAGCAUCACCAGGGGUUGCUGAAAGAGAGAGAGAGGAGCAGAGAAAGAGUGAGACGAUCUCGCGAAGAAAGAGGCGGAAAAGAGGAGAAAAGAGAGAGGGAGAGAUGGGGAAACAGAGAGGCAGAAGGACGAAGGGAGAAAGAGCGUAACACGUUGAAGACUUGAGCCGAGAUCCUGAAGAGAAAGAGGAACGCAGAGAGAUGUCGAGAGAGAGACGAGAGAGAAAGAGAGAGAGAAAGGAGAGCACUGAGAGAGUCUAGAGGACGACGACACUAAGAGUUCAAGCCACGUUAAGGUUUCAGGAUAGCAGGAUAUUAUACCUUCAGAAUGGUAGACCAACCGGAAGGAGAUGAGAAGUGGAGCAUAGCUGGGAAUACUGGAAGAGGCACUUUGAAGUGUCCAAGAAGGACAACUGUGUUAGCAUGCAACCCGGUAGUACCAGGAGAACGCCGGAUAUUACGACAGCUGAUGGGGACAGAGCUCGUGGAACGAUCAAUAAUAUAAUACCACAUCGCCCCAGGUACCACCAUGCUAUCACACCAUCAAACAUCGUGCCUCCCAUACCUCGAGAUCUGUUUAGCCUUUUCAUCCACACACGCGCUAUUGCAUGCUCUUUUUUUAGAAUUAGCGCGAAUGUCGAGUUCUGUAUGUUAGAGCCAAAAAACAUUUCCUCGCGAAAUAAAUAAAUAUCAAGGAAAGAAGUAAUCUUAUUAGAAAAACAUUGUU